rnacentral:lncRNA from 10 species
GGCCUUCAGUGCAUUCUUUUUAGAAACCGCAACACCAAGUGCCUAUGAACAGCCGGGGUGCAAAUGGGAACACCAGUCCCCAUGCCCAUUGCUUCUUUUCCAGGAAAAUAACAAAUAAAACAUCUAGAAAACAAUCUUUCUAUUGGUGGAUAAAACGGUUAGGUCACAUCAGCAAUAAAGCAGUACCCUGUGACUUCAAGGAGCAUCUCCAGCCUGUAUUAUCUGCACUUGGAAAAAUGCAUUGCAAGAGUCGCUGAAGUGAGUUAUAAGGAAUGUCAAGAAGUGACACAGAAAUCCAGGGUUAGUGCAGAGCCUGCGGUGGAUGAGAAUAGUCCAAGAAGCUGCGGGUCCCUCUCCACUACCUGCAGGAGGGAAGAGCCAUGCAGGGUGGUGGCUGGGGACACACCAGGUCUGGUUCCAAAUCCCCAAGAGGUUCCCCAUGAAGUUGGUGAAUGAGGGAGGUCAGAGGAGCAAAGGGCACAUUGGUGUAGGGAGAGUAAGCGUCAGUCUCUCCGCUACUCGCCCUUUGAUUUUCCCAAAGAAUCGCUGCCUCUGUCUAUUAGAAUGACGUCAUCUCACUGGGAGGACAUUAAUGAAUAGUGGUCAACAUGACUAUGGCCUCUACCCUGCUAGAUUUUUACUAUUAAAUAUCUGCUGAACCAAUGCCAAAAAGAAAUACAUGUUUAAUUAUUUUUUUAAAUUCUACCUUUCACAGUCUGGGGUAAUUUUUCCAAUACUUCAUGAUAACUUUCCAUUCCAAAUCAAAGGAUAUGAAAAUCUACCUUUUAUGAACACCCCAACUAUUCUACCUGCAAAACAACUUCAGCAAUUACACUAAUAAUACAGGAAUUUACAUAUAUUUUUAAUGCUUAUGAAACUGUCUUAUUUUUAAAUUCAAAAUAAAUUAUUAAAACUAAUAUAGAAGAAAAUUAAUGUAUAUGUUUUAUGCAGCAGCAGGGCAUAGAAAGGGAAGUAAUUCAACAUCAUAUUUUUCAGUGUCAUAAUCCCUACAAUUAAAUGCAAAGUAUCUUUAUUGAACUACAUUAAAUAGCUUUCAUUUUAGACAAAAAUAUGGAACAUGGUAAGCCACACUCAACAUACCGUGAACAAUUUCAUGAGUUGUUAAUAUGAAAAAGGAUAAUGAUAUUCAUAGUGAUUGCAAUUGUGUUAGUUCUUAAGAACCAAAACAUCUUUGAUUUCACUCUUCCUAAGUGGCUUGGUGGUAAUGGACCAUA